GAGAAAGCAUAAACUUGGAGAACACUUCAUAUAUUUUGUUUCUGUAAAUUCCAUCCGGAUUACAAUAAGAUACAUGGAGUAUUUAUAGAUAAUACAAGGAUCCAGGGUACAAGAGUCUUUUUCAUAUCUCACAUAGUCCUUAUGCAUAAGGAUUGAUCGCCGUCGUUGUCCUCUGCCAUUUAUCCUUCCUUUAACUGAUUUUGCCAUUUAUCCUUCCUUUAACUGAUUUUAUCAUUUAUCUUUUCCAACUAACAGAUGAGCUUUAUUCGUCUGUGCAAGUAGACUUCGAUGGCCCGCACAUGUAUCUCUCUAAUGAUCUGUGCAAGUACAUGGGAAUCCCCCCUUUAACUAACGCGUGUACCCGGGCCUGCGUAGGUAGGAUUCUUAACUAAUUGUUCAACGUCCUUGUUUAAACCUGUACUGCAAGUCCUUUUUACCAUAGAUAAUAAUGAGAAUAAUAAAUAAAUAAAUGAAUAAUGUCAUGCGAUGAUAAGAAUUUACUCAUCAUUAUGUAACUUUGUAUUGUAAUAAUCUGGACUUAGUUAAAGUGUGUAAAAAAUUGCUUGAAAGUGUAUUUAAGUUCUCUUAUCUAUAUCAUAUAUGCUCAUAUGCAUUUGACUAUUUAAUUAGACCACACGGUUUGAUUGGACACAAAAAUGUAGUAUCAAAUUGUUCGCGCGUAUUAGAUUAAUGAGAAUAAUUAAUGUGCUUGUAUUAAUUGAGAAAAGAUUCAGCGUUCUACAAUUUUAUGUAUGUUAUUAUAUCACUCAUAUAUUUAUUAUUUUGAUAAUAUUUUUAUAAUAAUAUUAUGAAUUAUACUUAAUUUUUAUUUUAAAAUUACCCACUAAGAUAAAAACUUCAAAAAAAUACCCAGACUUACCAUUAUACCCCUUCAAACACCACCCUUUAAAAAAUUCCCGCAUUUCACAACCCAGUGGAAUUCAAAACCAAAAUUUUUUGGUUGUGAAUUCACAACCAUGAUUUAUUUUGGUUGGGUUCCUGGCUCUGAUUCGUUUGAGCACCUCUAGCUAUAUACGAGAAAUGACGACCGAAUUGGGGCUUCGGUAUGAGUGAUGAUCAAAUUAUUGAUCAAGUGCAAAAGUUGUAUGCCUCCAAGCAUGGGGUUAAUUCAAAUAUCCCAACGCUUGGCAUGUGCUUCGUGAAUCUCAAAGAUUCGCUUCAAUCGGCCAAAAUGUUCAGUUCUCCAAACGUUUGAAGGGAUCAAACGGACUCCACACGACGACUUCUAACGAUUCUGUUAAGGAUCGAGUCUACACCUCCCGUCGAGGGAAGCGGGUGUAGGGCGUUGCCCUAAUUAUAUAGUUUCCUUAUUUCUAUAAUGUUAUUUCCUUCCUUAUUAUUAGUUAUUAGUUAUUUUGGGGUGUGGGCUCUUGCAUGGGCUUUUGGGUGCAAUUAGGUCAAUAAAUUGUAAUAGCCGUCAGUUUGGGAUGAGGCAUCUAGGGUGUAAGAUCGAAGCGGCGUUAGCGCUUGGACAGGAGAACUCUUCUCCUGGUAGUCUUUUAUCUUUCAAUUGUGAAUCAACUAUUCAGUUCGAUUCUAGUAUACUGUAAUCUCUCUUCUUUACUCUAUCAAUUUGGUCCGACCUGCCGGCGCAGUUCAUGCCAGCCACCCGUUCGAAUACCCACAUGGAAUCUGAAAAUCGUUUGGUGAUGAUAGAGAAGAUGAGUGAUGAGAUGUCCGUAGAAAUUGGCAACUUGACGACGAAGAUCGAUUCUUUGACUUCGCUCCUUGAAACCUUUAUGCUUGAUAAAGGAAACGACCGUACGGGGGUUUCAGACGNAUUUGGUCCGACCUGCCGGCGCAGUUCCAUGCCAGCCACCCGUUCGAAUACCCACAUGGAAUCUGAAAAUCGUUUGGCGACGAUAGAGAAGAGGAGUGAUGAGAUGUCCGCAGAAAUUGGCAACUUGACGACGAAGAUCGAAUCUCUGACUUCGCUCCUAGAAACCUUUAUGCUCGAUAAAGGAAAGGACCGUACGGGCGAACCACACGACGGCGAGGAAAGUUCAGCAGAUGGAGGUCGCCGCCCACCGCCGUUCACGCCUGAAACCUAUACCUCUGCAAAUAGAGUUUCCUUACCACCUUUUGAUGGGAGUAAGCCGGAGGCCUGGAUUGCUCGAGCCGAGCAGUAUUUUCAGUUGCAUGGGAUUCCUGAUGCAAGUAAGGUCGAUGUUGCCUUAAUUGCGAUGGAGGGAGGUGCUCUGCAUUGGUUCCAGUGGACACAAACUAAAUACCCAGCCCUAUCCUGGAUACAGUUUAAACAAGAGCUGCUGAGACGGUAUGGCGAGGAUCCUAUGGCCAACACAUUCGAGGCACUUAUGUACACCCGUCAAACAGGCACAGUAAGUGAAUACGCUGAUCUGUUUAUUUCACGUCUUGUGCAUGUUCCUGGCCUUGCAGAUAAUUAUUGCCUCGGCAUGUUUCUGCACGGGUUAACAGAUGAAAUCAGGCUGCGAAUACGUUCUCGGGACGCCAAAGACUUAUUUGAUACUAUACACCUGGCCCGAGAAAUUGAACGCGAGUUAGGGGCAGUGAGGGGCUAUGAUCAGGCUCUUGUCAAAACUAAUAACCUCCCAGUGCCGCCGGGUGGAGGUACAACCGUGUCACCAACAGUGUGGUCGGGACCAUCUGUUCGGCCCCCGCAAUCCCGGACAACACCAUGGACUUUUCCGCCCCAGUCAGGAAUGAGCGGUAAAGGCCCGAGUGCCUCGUAUACCGGAAGCACUUCUGUCUUCAAUCAGCCCCGAAGUCGCCAACUCGUCAAAUCACGCAUAAGGAGUAUUGGAUAAGAGGGCUAAAGAGAAUGUUUCGCUGUGGCGACGAUAUAACCUGGCAUCGUUGUUCUGACAAGACGAUGCAGGUAGUCAUUAUUUGUGACUCUGACGAUAUUGAGCCUGAAGUGGAGAACUCAGCACCGACGCCAGCGGAGGAAAGACAUGAGAUUUAUGAGGAGCCCCAAAUACAAACUCUUGAGUUGACACAGGUUACAUCUCGUGGAUUUGACGGACCACAGACGUUAAAAUUUAAAGGGCAACUCCAUGCUACAGAGUUUUGAUAUGGUUGACAGUGGCGCAAGUCACUGUUUUAUCUUACUAAAAGCCACCGAGUUGGGAUUGCAGAUUGACCGAUCAGAACAUUCGCGUGGUUUGGGAGAUGGUCGCGAUGACAAUUGAGGGAGUGUGCCGCGAUCUUCAUUCAUAUCGGGAAGGAGAAUUCAAUAUUACCUGCUAUGUUUUCCCUUGGGCGGUGUUGAUGUGAUAUUGGAGUCUCAUGGCUCGCGUCUUGGGAGAAAUCAAGGCUGAUGAGCAAGAUGCAAUGAGUUUUGUCAUUGUGACGAAGUUUCUUCGAGGAGCCAUCUUUGUCGCGAGAAAUCAAUGCUGCGAGUUUGGGAAAUUGAGGAUGUGGAGGAAGGUGGAUUUUUGGGUUACUCAAUUCGGGGAGAGGCCACACAAAUGGAUGUGAGCUUCUAAAGCAGAGAUCAACAUGAUAGAUGACUUGUUUCGGCAGAUGGCCAAAGAGUUUCCAUCGGUGAUGCAGCCACCACAUGGGCUGCCACCGCAACGUGACGUGGAUCACCACGUUCCGCUUCAACCAGGAGUACCACCCGUCUCGGUUUGACCUUACCGUUAUAGCCACACCGCAAAGGAUGAGAUGCAGCGGUUAAUGCAAGAGGUGUUAGAGGCAGGAAUCAUCCAGCCGAGCUCGAGUCCAUUUUCAAGUCCAGUACUCCUAAUUCGCAAGAAAGACAAAAGUUGGCGAUUUUAUGUUGACUAUCGCAAGCUGAAUAAGAACAUAAUUCCUGACAAAAAUGUGCUUGGGGACAAUCGGAGGUCGAAUAUCUUGGCCACUUGGUUUCCUAUCAAGGAGUUCAGAUGGAUUCUUCUAAGGUGACUGCAAUACUACGUUAGCCGAUUCCUAAGUCUGUGAAAGGGGUGUGCGGCUUUCUGGGCUUUACGGGCUAUUAUAGGUAUUUAAUUAAGGGGUACGACCAAUUGGCUCGACUCCUGACGCAGUUACUCAAAAAAGAGAAGGUGACCAAUUUUGAGUGGUCGGUGGAAGCCCAAGUUGCAUUCGAACAGUUGCAGCAGGCGGUUACAACAGCAUCUAGCCACCCCUGACUUCUCACAGACUUUUGUCAUUGAGUGUGACGCAUCGGGACACAGUCUUGAAGCAGUUCUAAUGCAAAAUAGGCGCCAUGUUGCUCAUUAUAGCAAGGCGUUGACGGAUCAUAGCAUGACAAAAUCCGCUUAUGAAAUGGAGCUGAUGGCAUUAGUUUUGUCUACCCAACAUUGGCACCCCUACUUAGUGGGCCGAAAGUUCUUGAUUUGCACGGACCAAAGGAGCUUGCGUUUCUUGUUGCACCAAUCGGUGUCAACCCCAGCUCAACAAUUUUGGGUUGCCAAAUUGUUGGGCUAUGAAUUUGAGAUUGAAUAUAAGGCUGGGGUGACUAACCGCACAGUAGAUGCACUCUCACGGAGUUCAGAGGAGGUGGAGUGUACGACAGUGUUGAUGCCAACGUGGGUUGGAUGGGCGACUAUUGGAGCAAAACUACAUCAAGAUGAGAGAUUUGGUCCUAUGUUGCUUGCGCUGCGGUCAGGAUCUACUAACUUCCCUGGCUAUUCUUUGAUCAAUGGUAUUAUUUAUCAUAAAAGAAGAAUUAUGCUUGCUCCUGGGUCAACAUUUAUUCCCCAGCUCCUGAGCGAGUUUCAUGCUUCUCCUCAAGGUGGGCAUGCUGGUGCCUAUCGAACUUAUCGGCGGUUGGCGGCUAAUGUAUAUUGGCCUGGCAUGAUGAAAAGAGUAACACAAUUUGUCUCGGAAUGUUUGAUUUGUCAAAAGAAUAAGUAUGACACUCGUGUGCUGUCGGGAUUGCUGCAACUGUUGCCUCUUCCAACACGUGUGUGGGAAGACAUUAGUACGGAUUUUAUCGAGGGUCUGCCUCACUCGGGUGCCUUUGACUGCAUAUUCGUGGUAGUUGAUCGUCUCACUAUAUAUAGACAUUUUAUGGGUUUGCGUCACCCAUUUACUGCCAAGGAGGUGGCAGGUGUGUUUAUUCGGGAGAUAGUCCGUCUUCACGGUGUGCCUUGUUCUAUUGUUUCUGAUCGGGAUUCCAUCUUUAUUAGUUCAUUUUGGUCUGAGCUCUUUUGGGCCACGGGCACAAAGCUCCGGAUGAGUUCAGCUUAUCACCCUGAAACAGACGGGCAAUCUGGAGUGGUGAAUCAUUGCGUGGAGACUUAUUUACGUUACUUUACGGUGGAACGGCCUAAGCAGUGAGAACGUUGGCUCCCAUGGGCUGAAUACUCUUAUAACACCAGUUUUCACUCAGCGGCAGGCAUGACGUCGUUCGAAGCUAUUUAUAGCCGUCCACCGCCAACUUUGGGCAGUUUUUCGCCCGCUGAAAUCAAAGUACGAGCUGUGGCUGAAGAGUUGUUGUCUCGCGAUGAGGUGUUGCAUCAUCUACAUGAUCAUCUGGAGAGUGCUCAGCAGCGGAUGAUGCGUGCUGCAAAUAAACAUCGUCGUGACGUUCACUUUGAUGUGGGCCAAAAAGUUUUCUUGAAGUUGAGGCCUUACCGUCAGCGUUCUCUACUCUCUCGUUCUUGUGCUAAGUUGGCGGCUAAAUUUUAUGGCCCUUUCGAGGUUCUGGCACGAAUUGGGACUGCAGCUUAUCGCUUAAAACUCCCUUCUCGCUCUCGCCUUCACCCCGUGUUCCAUGUUUCUCAGCUAAAAGCUGUGGGGGGAAAUCAUGUUAUUGAAUCUGAACUGCCUGAAGCAUUCAUCCAAGAGAAGCCUGAUUUUAUACCAGAAUGGAUGUUGCGAGAUCGCAUGGUCUGGCGGGGUGAUGAUCGUGUUCGUCAGGUAUUGGUGCAAUGGUGUCAUAAGGGGCUGGACGAUGCAACUUGGGUUGAUGAGGCGGAAUUUGUGGCGCAAUUCCCUGAUUUCAGCCUUGAGGACAAGGCUGUUUGGAAGGAUGGAGGAGUUGUUAAGGAUCGAGUCUACACCUCCCGUCGAGGGAAGCGGGUGUAGGGCGCUGCCCUAAUUAUAUAGUUUUCUUAUUUCUAUAAUGUUAUUUCCUUCCUUAUUAUUAGUUAUUAGUUAUUUUGGGUUGCGGGCUCUUGCAUGGGCUUUUGGUGCAACUAUGUCAAUAAAUUGUAAUAGCCGUCAAAAUCCUAGGGCAGUUAGGAACUAUUGUGAAAGAUCGAAACGGCGUUAGCGCUUGGACAGGAGAACUCUUCUCCUGGUAGUCUUUUGUCUUUCAAUUGUGAAUCAACUAUUUAGUUCGGUUCUAGCACACUUUAAUCUCUCUUCUUUACUCUAUCAGAGGCUAAUGUUACUAUCAAAAAUCACUCUAGCCACCAUAUUCUAGCAUCAGUGGGUAAUAAUGCUUGGGAUAUCUGUGGAAUCUAUCGGUGGAGCCGCAUAGAAGAUCACCACCUCACGUGUGAGCACAUGCUCAGUCUGCUCACGGAUGUUGCUAAUAAAUAGAUUUGUGGCGGCGAUUUUAAUGAAACUCUAUACCACUUUGAGAAGGUCGGCGGGAAUUCUAAGCCGAACUCGCGUUUGCUAGAGUUUCGAAAUACUGUGGAAGCGUUCACCUGGACUAAUAACCAACAAAGGGAUGCGCAUAUUAUAGAAAAAAAAAUGAAUAAAAAAUGUUAUAACAUUUAAAAUGACACUAUACUACUAUACAAUUGACACUACGUACAAUUGACAAACAUUGAAAUUAACACCAUAUAUUUUAAAUGACACUGUGUAUAAUUGAAACUAUACUGAUAUACAAAUGAUACUAUAACAUUACAAAUGACACUAUAACAUUUAAAAUGACACUAUAACAUUGAAAUUGACAUGAUAACAUUUUAAAUGACUACUUUCGUAUGUAAAAAUGACACUAUAACAUUGAAAUNAAUACAAGGAUCAAGGGUACAAGAGUCUUUUUCAUAUCUCACGUACUCCUCAUGCAUAAGGAUUGAUCGCCGUCGUUGUCCUCUGCCAUUUAUCCUUCCUUUAACUGAUUUUUGCAGCUUUUCCAACUAACAGAUGAGCUUUAUUCGUCUGUGCAAGUAGGC
rnacentral:lncRNA from 1 species